CCAGGAUUUCAACUGGACUUGGGGCAAUUGUAAUAGAAAUCCUUUGGCUGAUGAAAAUCAGUACUCAUCAUUGAACAGCUUGGCAUGACUAUAAUCAGGCCCUAAGAUGGUCUGGGGCAGCACUACAGGGUCUGACCUAGAACUCUGUUCAGGGAUGGGGGCUGAUGGUUCGGACGUCUUCAGCAAGGCUGACUUAGCAACGGGAAGGGAACAACAAUUAUGAUUAACAGGGACUGGUAAUGCCGGCCUGGGACUAGUCUGCGUGUCCUCCUAACUCUGAAAGAACACAUCUGGAGCCACGGCUUGUGGUUUACGUUUGGGGGACUCAAGAAGACAGGAGAGGGAAUACCCAGGGAGAAAUGAUGAAAUUUCAGUCAUAUGAUUAAUUCCUCAGUACUUAAUGCAAGAAAGCUCCUCCGUAGUAGAAGCUGCCCACACCCCAACUGACAGCACUCUGCCUGGAGGUAGGGAAAGAGAAGCUUGCUUGUGUGUAAAAGAUGCCGCCUGCCCUCACAUGCAGACUGUGGCUGGGGACAGCCUACUCACCUCCGCAUCCUGGUGGUUGAUCUCACUGAGGCUGGACUGCUGCAGCAGGACGAUGAGGAGCCUGUCGGGAGGAACAAGAGAGGCUCACUAGCACUGGCAGUCCUGGGUGCUUAGCAUGGGUAUCAAAACACAACACGGGGAACCCAGCUGAAGGCUCCCGAAUACAAUGAGGCUCUUCCCGCCAACCCGAGAGAAAGAUCGAUGGGACAAUGUGGACACAGACAACAGAGAAGCACGUCUGUCUUCUCCAGUUUCUUGCCAUCUUGGUGCUGAUGGCAACCGAAGGGAGGCAGAGCAGUGAGUCCUUAGCCUCACCCUCUGUCACCUACGUAGUACUUCAAUAGCCAAACGCAUGUGCGACUUGGCUUUAUUCCCUUCGCAUAAGCAGAGACAGUGCUUGCAUUUACACCUUGACAUCCUAGUAAAACAGGGACCUCUGAGCAGGAGACGACAGGAUUCAGUGAGAAGCAAGUCAGCGAUUCUCAAGCUCAUUGGCCUGAACUUGGCUGACCGAGGUCAACAUGCUCUCUGGGAGGAAGAGGCAGGUGACGGCACUGGUCCUAGGGCCAGGUUCUGGAGCCAGAUGUUUGAGUUCACACGUCAGACCUGCCAAACUCUGAACUCCAAGAGUUCCGGUGUGAUGCUACGAUGGCCAGAAACAUUCUUUCCACCAUCCCUGCUGGAACCUGUUCAAUCUGCCUUCAGAUCUCAGAGCAAAAGUUCCAGACCACUACAUACCAGGCUCCAGGACAGCAAACAAGGAUCCCCAGCAGAAAAGAAAUUUAGAAAUCAGUGAAGACAUUUGAAAGCCUUGAUACCAUUUGGAGGCAACAGAUGAACACCAUACCUACUGUGUUAGCCGACCUCACCAUUGCCUUCAGCUGUGAGAAGCUGAAGUUACUGUUUUUUACUAUACCUCAAAAAUCAAGACAGAGGAACAAAAAGGUGAAGAGAUUUGCCCAAGGCCACAUAUCAACAAAUGUCUUUGUACCCUGAGUUAAGAAUCAGUUUCUAAGCGCCUUUUUUGCCAAGGUUCUCUUAAUGAUCAAAUCUAGACAUCGCUGGAUUUCACAGCGACGCUCCUCUUCCCAGAGCCUCAGCAUCCAGGGAUGGGUCCAGACUAGACCUCACCCAGAAGCCAGCACAGUUCAGAAGGCCGUCCUAUCUUGGGUCACUUCUCUCACACAGCCCUUAGGGAUGGGAAGAGUUGCCUGCAAAGGUGUCACCAGGCAACAAUCCAUCUUGGCCCUCAUAACUGAUGUUUGGAGAGAACGUCCUUCCAGUACUUUCAAGUUUGGAAAUUUAGAGUUCUAAAAGACAUACAAUUUGUUUCCACCGUCUUCAUUGAGUCUAAUGGCGGUCAACUUUACACAGCAUUUCUGCCCCUUUCCUUUGCUCCUUAAUCCGGAUGUUUUCUUUUCUUUAUCUCAGAUACAAAAAAAGUGUGUAACAAGAGCAGUGAUGAUGGCAUGUGCUACAAAGGGAGGGGACGGUGAGCGUGGCCAUACAUCCGUCUGAGAUAUGCUGACUCACUCAGCUAGGACACGCAGAGCAGUGGUCUUCAAACUCAGGUGAACACAGAUGUUUCCAGGGAGGUUGGUCUAACCUGCAGGCUCCCUUCCUCCCUGCCCCCAUGCUAUCCAAGGAACAUCUAAUGAAGGAAACCUUAGUAUACCUCAGAACACGCCUUCCAAGCAAGACCUCUAUGGGAUAUUGAUCCAAGAAGUCUGUGGAUCACACUUCAAAAUAUCCUGCCUCGAUUUGUCUGUGGGUCCCAGGGAAAGGAAAAAAUUAAAAAGUAGCCUCUGGAGAAAAUCUCUGUGGGAAUUGAGCAAUGCAUCAUUGUAAGCUCUGUGGGAAUUGUGGCAGGAAAGGGGUGGUGUGUUUGGGGAAGGGAAGUGCUUUAUUUCAGUGGGGCACCCUAGGAGGCCUGAUUGGGGGUGAAUCCACCACUACCAAGUGGCAGCAGUAGUGAAGGCCAGAGGCAAGAUGCGAGAGGACGGUGGCCACAUUGCUGGAAAAGAAGAAAAGCAAGCAAGUGUCCGUCAUGUGGUGGGGUAGGGCUUGUUUCACACGGGUUUAAGCCAUGUGACCCCAGAAGAAUCAGAAAGAGCAAGUGAGAGGAGGGGGCUAGAGGAGUUUCCAUGAGUCUUAACCAUGGCUUGCUUCAGUGUUGGGCAAUGCUGAACCGAAAUCCUGAGUGUGAGGAAUGACAUUACAGUUUCUAAUGUGAGCACUAGCUAGGAACUGAACCCUUCCCUUGGUGUUGCCCUGUGAUCCUGGCUUAUUCCCUACACCCUAGUCCUCUUAUUCUUCCCAGCUCCCGUCAUUUCUCACGUUCUUCACUCCGGAGCGUCCCCUCAGUUCCCCCCAUCUAAUCCCACCCCAUAGAUGUUAGCUGGAUCUUGAAAUCACUACCACUGUCUCUGGGUUAUUUGUGGCAGCCUUCUUAAAAAUACUCAGAAGGGGCCGGAAGCGUGAAAUUCUGAUGCCGAGAUAGAAAAGAACACGUUGCUGGUGGUCACACCACCUCUCCCUUAGCUUGUGAAGGAUCUGUGCGAGCCCUAAGGACGAGCGAAGCUGAAAGUUCUACUCGCCGACUGCAUCAGUGCAUGAGCAGAGCACCUUUCUUUGAGUUGAAUCCACACGACAUCUGUAGGUCCCUUGCUCUAUAGCCCCAUCAACAAACAUAAAUUCCUACCAGGUA